GUCUACAGCCAUGCAACCCUGAACAUGCCUGAUAUCGUCUGAUCUCAGAAGCUAAGCAAGGUUGGGCUUGGUUAGUACUUGGAUGGGAAACCACCUAGGAAUACCAGGCACUGUAUGUU
rnacentral:rRNA from 1 species